rnacentral:pre_miRNA from 1 species
AUCACCUGGGGAUCUUUUUAAAAUGUAGAUUCUGGGUCAAGGAGUCUUGGAUGGGCCUGAGAUUCUGCAUUUCUAAAAAGUUCCCAGGGGGUGCUAA